UAAAUAAUCCUACCCUUUGAUGAAUUUGUUGUUUGAAUAAUUUUUUUUUUUAAAAAAAUUAUUGGAGUCUUUCCCUUUAGAGUUUGCUUUUGAGUUUGUAAAAGAAUUCGAAUAACAUCUAAAGGGGAUGGUUCAAUAAUUUUUUUUGAAAAAAAAGACAUUUUUUAAAAUUAAACUUUUGUAUUCAUUUGUCUAAAAAAUUAUUUUUAUAAUAUAAAAACAACUUUUGACAAUGGAUCUCUUGGUUCUCGCAACGAUGAAGAACGCUAGCAAAAUGCGAUAAGUAGUGUGAAUGGCAGAAUACGUGAAUCAUCGAAUCUUUGAACGCAUAUUGCACUUUUUUAGUUUACUAAAAAAGUAUGUCUGUUUGAGUAUCAGUAAAAUAUUCUCAUAAAAAUCAUUGUAUUUUUAUGGUUAUGAGUGUUUUUACAACGAUACAAGUUGUUUCACUUUAAAUUUUUUUUUAAUAUUGAAAUUUUCUAAUUUUAAUAAUUAAAAUUGGAUAAAAUUUUCCCGUCAAAAGGAAUAACCUAAACAAUUUUAAAUCGAUUAAUUUAGCCAAAAAUUUUCGAAAAAAGGAAAAUUCUUUAUUAAAAUAACUUGAUCUCAAAUCAGAUAAGAGUACCCGCUGAACUUAAGCAUAUCAUAAGCGAGGAAAAGAAACUAACAAGGAUUCCCUUAGUAACGGCGAUGUGAAGCGGGAAGAGCUCAAAUUUGAAAUCUUUUCAAGGUUUACCUUGACGAAUGUAGUUUAAAGAAGUGUUUUCUGCUGAAGUUUUGGUAAAAGUUCUUGGAAUAGGACAUCAUAGAGGGUAGGAAUCCCGUAUUUGACCAUUAUUUCAGCUUUGUGAUACCACUUUUCAAAGAGUCGGAUUGUUUGGGAAUGCCAGUCCAAAAUGGGUGGUAAAUUUGUCUAAAAGCUAAAUAUUGGCGAGAGACCGAUGCGAACAAGUACCGUGAGGGAAAGAUGAAAAGAACUUUGAAAAGAGAGUAGAAACAGUACGUGAAAUUGUCAAAAGGGAAGCGUUUGACACCAGUGUUGUUUUCUCGAAAAUCAAUUAAAAAUGGCUCGAUUCUGUAUUGCUUGAGACCUUAAAAGCUCACUGUUACAUUUUUCGUGUCUUUUUUAAUGCACUUUUCGUUUAACAAGUCAACAUCAGUUUCUUUUGUUGUAAAGGGUCAUUGGAAGGUGGCUCUCUUUUCGGAGAAAGUGUUUAUAGCCUUUGGCCUCUGCAUCGGAAGAGACUGAGGUCUGCAGCGUAGACUCUUCGGGUUAGAUACAUUUGUGCUAGUUAUAGCUUUUUAUGGACAACUUGUUGACUUAAUUAGUCUUGUAGCUUACUCGCUUAUGCUAUUUUACCUACGCUUAGGAUG
rnacentral:misc_RNA from 1 species